rnacentral:rRNA from 1 species
UACGGAGGGUGCAAGCGUUAUCCGGAUUCACUGGGUUUAAAGGGUGCGUAGGUGGGCUGGUAAGUCAGUGGUGAAAUCUGCAGGCUUAACUUGGAAACUGCCAUUGAUACUAUCAGUCUUGAAUACCGUGGAGGUCAGCGGAAUAUGUCAUGUAGCGGUGAAAUGCUUAGAUAUGACAUAGAACACCAAUUGCGAAGGCAGCUGGCUACACGAAUAUUGACACUGAUGCACGAAAGCGCGGGGAUCAAACAGG